rnacentral:rRNA from 1 species
GCUCUACUGGUAAUAUAGUUAAUGCUAUAAUUAAACGGUCUAGUACGGAAUUGCAUGGCUGUCGUCAGUUCGUGCUGUGAAGUUUAGGAUUAAGUUCUUUUUAACGAAUGUAACCCUAUAAGUAAGUUUUUAAAUAUUAUUAAAUAAAUAUAAUAAUUAUUCUUAUUUAAUCUAUAAUUAAAUAUAUUAAAAUCUUUUUUGUACAUUUAAAUAUAGGGGUUUUAGGCUGAAGUCAAGUCCCUAUGGUCUUUAUACGUUGGGCUACACACGUGUUACAAGGGUAAAAACAAAGAGACGCAAUUGAGUAAUCAAGAGCAAAACUCGAAAAAUUACCUUAGUUCAGAUUGUUUCAUGAAAUUCUGAAACAUGAAGAUGAAAUCGUUAGUAAUUGUAAAUUAUUAUGUUACAGUGAAAUAAUAGUCAAAUUUUGCACACACCGCCCAUCACGCUCGGAAAGUCGAUAUUAGUGGAAGAUUUGAAAACCUCUACAUAAAAUUGAAUUAAUUUACUAUUCGAUUGUAUAUUUGUUAUUUUUUAACGUUGUAGAUGCAAAGUAGUAUCCAAUCUAGUAUUGGUAAUUUGAGUGAAGUUGACACAAGGUAC